rnacentral:rRNA from 1 species
CAGUAGCCGCGGGAAUACGGAGGGUGCAAGCGUUAUCCGGAUUUAUUGGGUUUAAAGGGUCCGUAGGCGGAUCUGUAAGUCAGUGGUGAAAUCUCACAGCUUAACUGUGAAACUGCCAUUGAUACUGCAGGUCUUGAGUAAAUUUGAAGUGGCUGGAAUAAGUAGUGUAGCGGUGAAAUGCAUAGAUAUUACUUAGAACACCAAUUGCGAAGGCAGGUCACUAAGAUUUAACUGACGCUGAUGGACGAAAGCGUGGGGAGCGAACAGGAUUAGAUACCCCUGUAGUCCCUGUCUCUUAUAU